GUGGCGCCGCCAGCCCCGCUUCGCCACCCUCCGGUCCCCUCCCCUGCGCCGGGGGAAGCUGCGGAGGCGCUGGGCGCUGCGGCUGCGGCCGUGGCCGUCGGGGUGAUUGAUGGGUAACAGUCAAGCUGAGAUAAAAUAUGCAAUAAACUUAACGUCGCUCGGUACAACUCUUAGAAUACGAUCGUUUGCUAGGGGUCAUUAUGGGAUCACUGUACUGAAAACGGUAUUGCCGCCCGUUAAUUCCGCGCAGCAGAGCUGCGCCCUGCAGCCUUACUUCAAUGGUAGCGUGCUAUGUGUGCCAGAGCCGUGAAGUGCGACACUGCCUUGCAGCUUUGCAACAAAAAUUAUCUGCAAAUAGUCACGGUCUUCCUAAGGAGAUAGGAAAAUAAAGGAGCUGUUUAUAGACUAAUGGUUGAAUCCAGUCCUGAUGGAAAUGUGUGGAACUCUGCUGGCCACAUUCAGUUAUAACAGGAGGACAGACUUCUGAGUUUACUGCGUAUACAGAUGAUUUGGACCAGCCCUGCCUCUGAUACACAUUAUAGAACCAGAUUAUACUAUUUCAACACCCUAUUAUAAUACGAAACAGAACAUUUUUGUCAGGCACAAAGUAUAUGUGUAUCAAAUGUGUUUAUAUGUACAUGCAUUUCUUGAGACCUGAAGCCUCAUUUCUCCAUUGUUUCCAAAUCGUAGAACAGUCUUUCAUUUAUUCUAUCUGCAUGCUCAUGCACCUAUUGUAAGUUGGAUUGAUCUUUGGCUAAGAAGGAAUGUUUCGAGGACAUGACAGAAAUUUGUGAGCAAAUGACUGAGCAACUUUUAUUCUUGCUUUUGAUUGAGCAUGAAUAAAAGGAUAUAACUCUGAUGUUAUAUUUAAAUGAAUGCCUACACAGUCAGUACCUUAUAACUAGGAUCAUAAUCUGUCCAAUGAUAUCCAAGGAUUUUUUAAAAAUGAUUACUACACCAUUUUUAAUGAAAGA